CCCCUCCACCUUUUAAAUAGGGUGAAUCUUUCAGGGCAGAGCUAAGAGGAGAGAUUCUAGAGCCUAAAACUGACAGAGGACAGCCAAAAUCAGUUUUAUUUGGCAUGUGUUUGCUUUCUUAAGCCUGAAUUGUAGUCAAAACUGGACACAGCUGUCGUUUCUCAAGAUUUCACUCCCAGACUGAAUGUUUGGAUUUCAGCUCAUUGUUUAAUAGUUCUAGAAUUCGAAUGGUCACCGUGAGGCAGGAAGGUUAGCACUCCAUUAAGAUGGAUGGGGAAAGUUCACACCUCUCACUUUUAUUUUAUUUCUUUGCUUUUCUUUCCAUUUGCCUGCAUACUCAGCAAAGCUGAAGCCCGUUCACUACACAGUCUGUUUUUAUACCCACUGGACUGAAAAGUUGAUUUACUGAAGAACUCGGAUUUUGCAGGAAGAGGAAAAAAAACCCACAGAGAGUUUUAAAAUCUGCAAAAUACGACGGGAUUAUCAGAGGAAUAAGAAAUCUUAAGCUAGAUCCUUUGGUUUUUAAAUCAAUCCCCGAAGAGGUUUUAAAGCCCAUACACUUUUGGAUGGUUCUUCUGGACAUCACUAUAAUUAUUCUUCAUAGAAUAUCUACUAAGAGGGAGAGCUAAGACCAGCAUUUAGGUAAACUAGGAAGCCAGUGCAUUUUUGUUCAGUUAGCUUUGAUGAAUGUUGAUUGGAAAACAUGGAAGGAAAUUAACCUUCACUGAGUGCCUACUACAUGAAAGCAUCAUGCUAGGUAUCAGGGGAGACCACGAAGGGUAACACCUAGUUCAGUCUGGUCCCUUUGCUGUGAUGAAGAAAAAACAUACAUGAUUUUCUCUAACGCGUCAGACUCUGAGAAGUAUUAUGGUAUGGAUUCCUAUAACAGACCCAUGGAGAAAAGGACAAGUUCAUUGUGAACUGAAACAUUUAGAAAAGCUUCUUAAAGCUGAAUUCACAGAUUCCAACAAAGACCUCUGAAGAAGGCUUGGUGUAUGGGGUUCUAUACAAUGGAAGCACCCAGGCUGCUGGAAUCAUCAGACAGAAGAAGGCUGCCCUCCUGAUGCCUAAUGAUGCCAUGAAAGGAACAAGAAUUAUUCUGUAAGCCACUGCAAUUUGCGAGCUAGCUUUAGAGCGGAGACGGUAAGAUUCCUAAUAGUAGAAUUUGACUAUGAAGUCAAAGAGUUUGAAAAUCUGUAAAAGACACCAGUGAGUACAGGAAACCAGCUUCCUUGAAAGGUUGCAGAAGUUUGUUUUCCUGCUAACAGAACAGGAGAUGACCUGUCUUACCACACUCUCAUCUGCAUUGAACGUCUCCUUGUACUACAGGUCAAUCGUUGGCUCUUUGCCCACCCAUGAGUGCUCUAACCUUGAGAAGGGAAUAUGGGUGCAUGUGCGUAGCUACUGUGGCUGUGGUGGAGCCGUGGAUGGAAAGAAGGAUGAGACCCAACAGCCAGAUCGGACAAAGGCCAUUGGAGGUCCAGGCACAGCACGUUGCAUGGAACAUUACUUGAUCAACAGUUGCUACUUCGUGGAUUAUCACUUACGUUGAAAAAAAAAAAAAAUAACACUACUUGACGAUAUCUUUGAAUUCAAGCCUCUUAUCUUUCCUCUUUCGAAGGACAAGAUGAUUGCUUGCAGCUUCCUCAAGCCCUCUAAUCAAGCACAGGAAACGACCGGAAUGCAAUGAACUGCCACGGAAGAUUCCUUUUCUUGCCCAUGUUACCAAAGAGCACUUACAGAGCGUUUCAUGAAAGGAAUGCAGAAUACGCCGAAGCAAGGGUGGGCACAGAGUUAAAGCCCAAGCCCGCAAGACUGAAUGACCUCCGUGGGCAACCCUUGCGCCCAGUCGCAAACAAAUGGGACCAGGAAGGCUUUCCUCUCACACUCGCUGGGAGGCACCCCCACCCACCACCUCCUGCCGUCCAUCUCCUCCUUCCCUGAUUUGUGUCUGUUUUUGUUAAACAGUGGAUCUUGCUAUGCUUUUCAGAAAGCUGACAAGAAGCAAGCUGAAAAUUAAAAAUGGGUGCCGAGAGGCUUUACGGGAGUCUAAAUAAACAGCUCGACAGGAAAGACGUGUGGCAGGCUAAGGUUUCAGGCUAGUGGUCGGAGAGAGUUAAAAGACAUCCGUAUAACAGAAGGCUGUGUUUGUUUUCCCUGUCCCUGCUCUAGCAAAUUUAUUGGGUUAUCUGUCUUAUUUUGACACUUGGGUGUUUAAGGUUUCUGUUCUAGGUGUCUAAAGACAUAAAAAAAAUUAUUGUACCGCUUACAUUCCUGGCAGAGGCUUUGGCAUGUGCUAGCUGAAAAGUUCCUAUCUGCCAGUAAUUUUGCAGAAAAAAGCCUUGUAGAAUUGGGUUUUCGCAGAGGCUCCAAGAAUCCUCUGCAGAAAACGCCGAGAACAAAGGGGUUCUUAUUUUAUUUCUGACCCUAU